AUUGAACGCUGGCGGCAUGCUUUACACAUGCAAGUCGGACGGCAGCACAGAGAAGCUUGCUUCUUGGGUGGCGAGUGGCGAACGGGUGAGUAACAUAUCGGAACGUACCGAGCAGUGGGGGAUAACUAAUCGAAAGAUUAGCUAAUACCGCAUAUCUUCUGAGGAAGAAAGCAGGGGACCAUUUGGCCUUGCGCUGUUUGAGCGGCCGAUAUCUGAUUAGCUAGUUGGUGGGGUAAAGGCCUACCAAGGCGACGAUCAGUAGCGGGUCUGAGAGGAUGAUCCGCCACACUGGGACUGAGACACGGCCUAGACUCCUACGGGAGGCAGCAGUGGGGAAUUUUGGACAAUGGGCGCAAGCCUGAUCCAGCCAUGCCGCGUGUCUGAAGAAGGCCUUCGGGUUGUAAAGGACUUUUGUCAGGGAAGAAAAGGGCGGGGUUAAUACCCCUGUCUGAUGACGGUACCUGAAGAAUAAGCACCGGCUAACUACGUG
rnacentral:rRNA from 1 species